rnacentral:tRNA from 1 species
GGGGUUGUGGCUCGGAGGUAGAGCGCUCACCUAGCAAGAGUGGGGUACUGGGUUCCAUCCUCAGCACCACA